GCCCCUGUCGUGCAAUGAGUAGCGCGUUGGACUUCUAAUCCCAAGGUCGUGGGUUCGAAUCCCACCUGGGAUG